CUUUAUACGGGUCGAGAACUCCAUAGUUGAUUUUCUUUGUUGCCUUUGAAGCCGCACAUACAUCCAUCCGGCCUCUACAGGUGAUUCACACGAAGCUGCAAUAAAAUCGGAGGUUCGUCGAACGAAGAUCCGCUCGAAGUGUUAGCUUCUUGUGGAUCUUUCUGGAUGGUUAAUCUAAAAAAUAUUCUUUGAAUCUCUUGGAUAUUCCAUAAGAUGAAGAAUAUGAGGAGGAAUGAGAGAGAAGUCAAAUCUUUUGACCUCCCUAAAAUCAGAAAUAAUAUGUAAAGGAAAAGGGUCCUAAGAGAAGACAGAUCUUCUCUUUCAGUAUAUCAACGAUUGAUGUCCUAAGAACAUCUCUAUGCUAGAACAUGAGAAGACCUUCUUCUCUAGUUAUUUUUUAAAUUUUCAAAUCUUAUGAUAUCUGAUUUUUCUCACAAAAAAAUCUCACUAUUUAUGAAGAAGAAGGAUUCUAAAAGAAACCUUAAGAGAAGACCUUAUUUUCUUCUUCUUCUCUCAUUAGAACAUGAUCAGCUCAUGUCUAAAAUUAGAUCACCAUGCUCCAACUUAUUGGAGCAUGAAUCUACCAUGCCAUCCCUCUUUCUCUUUCAAAAUUUUAUCAUAUAAAAAUAUACAAUAAAGAGAGAAUAAUCUGAAAAGAAAAUAAUAAGAGAAAAUAAUCUUUUCUCUUACCUUUUUGUUUCUACAAGACAUCAACCUUUGAUCUCUUGAUUGAAGACCCUUCUCCAAGGAUAUUGGCACAUCAAACCACCCAUGCCAUCCUCUUUCUCCUCUGGUUUUUCUGUCAAGAAACUACAGAUUUUAGACUCCUAUAUCUUCUCAUAUGGGGCGGCACCAAUAUAAGAGGUAGAUAAGGUCAAGACUCCUAGUUAAACAAGGAACUUAUAGGGCGUCCAACUC
rnacentral:lncRNA from 1 species